UCAUUGGAGGUCUACCUUAUUGCUUGCACUGCUCACUGUCGUCUUGCCAAUUACAUCACUUGUCCAUCGUAGUUACUUGCGGCUUGCAUUGCCAGUCGAUAGCCGUUGAUCGACACCUAUAUUGCUCGUCAAUCGUGGUCCGCCGCUCGGAUCUCUCACUUCUCGCUAUUGCAUUCAGCAAGCGCAUCAUCGCCCGUCUAUCUCACGCUGCAUCAUCGCCCGUCUAUCUCACGCUGCAUGCUGCUUUCCGUCGUUCUCCGCUCCUCCAUCUCCUUUAAUCAACCAUUAAUAAUGAAGAUAAUUUGGAAAUUUGAAG
rnacentral:lncRNA from 1 species